UCGAGGAUCUUCGGCAAUGGGGGCAACCCUGACCGAGCGAUGCCGCGUGCGCGAUGAAGGCCUUCGGGUUGUAAAGCGCGAAAGAGGGGAGAAAAGCCGAAAGGUUUGAUCUAUCCUCAGUAAGCUCGGGCUAAGUUCGUGCCAGCAGCCGCGGUAAGACGAACCGAGCGAACGUUGUUCGGAAUCACUGGGCUUAAAGGGCGCGUAGGCGGGCUGUCAAGUCUGGGGUGAAAUCCCGCGGCUCAACCGUGGAACUGCCUCAGAUACUGACGGCCUCGAGGGAGGUAGGGGCGAGCGGAACGGAUGGUGGAGCGGUGAAAUGCGUUGAUAUCAUCCGGAACUCCGGUGGCGAAGGCGGCUCGCUGGACCUUUUCUGACGCUGAGGCGCGAAAGCUAGGGGAGCAAACGGGAUUAGAUACCCCCGUAGUCC
rnacentral:rRNA from 1 species